CGUUAUGCACGACUGGAACUAGGGUCCACUGGUUUAUACGCAAAUGUGAGUCAAGAAUGGGUGCUUGGGCGAGAGUAGCACUAGGAUGGGUGACCUCCUGCGAAGUCCUUAUAUUUUACCCAUUUUCUUAGGAAGUCCUCGUGUUGCACCCAUUUUUUUGCAGAUGAUUCUUUCGACGAUACACGCGACUUGAAUUUUGGUCCUCAGGUUUAUUCGCAAAUGUGAAUCACGGCACCG
rnacentral:lncRNA from 1 species